rnacentral:lncRNA from 1 species
CUCGCGGCGCUCCCGUCCCGUUUGCUGCGGCAGGAAGCGCGCCUCUGCGAGGGGCAGAGCUCCGCGGCCGCGGGUUUUGCGCGAGUUUUGCGCUGGAAUGCCGCCUCGCCUUUUCCUGCCGCUGCGAACGAUUCGGACGGAACCCACCGGCGCGGAGAGGUGCUUUGGCACAGCGGGCAGAAUGAAUGACUCAGAGUUUGGGGGAAGCGGUCCAAAAGCGGAGCGGUGUGAAUCCGACGGGAUAUAAAGCACAGAGGCAAAGCCGUGCACGAAGGCUACGGAGGCACGCACGCACUGUAAAUACACCGCCGGUAUGUACACAGAACAGGGCAGCCCGACAGCAGCACGGUGCGCACAGGCAGACGCGAGCGCUGCUGUCGGACUGCGGUGUACACAUCUGCUCCUGGCCCAGCCGAGGCGUCCCCCGCGAAGAUCCAGCUAGGCAGAAAUAAUCGACCAGUCGUAUAGGGAAA